ensembl:lncRNA
GCAAUACUUCAUUCAAAAGAUAACUUUCUUUUUUAGGGAUUGACUUCUUUGACAUCCCGCUUCAAAGUUACAAAGAACAGACAUGUCUUUUAAACACUGUUUAGCUCAAACACCUCUAACAAAAAAUAUUUUUUCCUCCACAACUCAGGAAGCUGUAAGCCUCUGGUACAACAGUGCAGACAGGUUUACAUCCCAUCUGUAACAUGGAUUUUAAACCUAGCAGGGGAAGUGGAAGUAGACAAAAGGGUUGUAUCUGGGAGUAUCAGGGAGUGGAGCCUCUUAAGGGAGUAAGGCUUUUUAAAAGGUAAUUCCUUGAUGCUCUCGGUUCGGUACACCUCUCAUGGAUCGCUCAAGAUCAAAGGAUGACUCAAACAAACGUACCUUCAUCCAUCUAGUCUGGCCCUGAACAGCAGAACACACCAUCAAAUCUUCUGUUCCAGGUAGGCCCCCAUGGACCACUGAUCCACAGUACAUGGCUGAAGUCAAGGCAUUAUCCUUUAACUCACUUUUAGCCACAUUAAGGGCAUGGCGAAUUAGCAGAAAUUACUCCACUACCACCUAACGCAUCCCAGUGAGAGACUUGAAUCUGUAGGAUGCCAUCAUUCCUCUUCUCCCCGUGGACAGAAAGGCAGGCAACAGUGACCUGCACAGACUGAAGAAAAGAUGACGAGAGGACAGGGAGAUGGGUAUUAGUGAGAUGUCACUAUUCUGCUGUGGAGAACGAUAACAGAGACAACCUUAGAGUCUCUCACCAGUGGCUUGUUCACAUCUGGAACAACAGCCAUACGAGUCCUUUGAUUCUCCAUGUAAUACAAUUUAACAUUUCUUGGUGUCCCCUAUUUUAUUACUAUAUGAACAUCUAGUUCAGGGAUGGACACGUUUUGUAGGGCCUCCAUAAAACACCGCCCCCCACUGCAAAAGAAAAUAUAGAACUCAGUUUGGUCUUCAAUUUAAUAUAGAGAUUUUU